rnacentral:misc_RNA from 1 species
GGCCGGGCACGGUGGCUCACGCUUGUAAUCCCAGCACUUUGGGAGGCCAAGGAAGGUGAAUCACUAGAGGUCAGGAGUUUGAGACCAGCCUGGCCAACAUGGUGAAACCCCGUCUCUACU